rnacentral:rRNA from 1 species
AUCUUGGGCAAUGGGCGCAAGCCUGACCCAGCGACGCCGCGUGAGGGAUGAAGGCCUUAGGGUUGUAAAGCUCUUUUGCCCGGGAAGAUAAUGACUGUACCGGGAGAAUAAGCCCCGGCUAACUCCGUUCCAGCAGCCGCGGUAAUACGGAGGGGGCUAGCGUUGUUCGGAAUUACUGGGCGUAAAGCGCACGUAGGCGGCUUUGUAAGUUAGAGGUGAAAGCCCGGGGCUCAACCCCGGAACUGCCUUUAAGACUGCAUCGCUUGAGCGUCGGAGAGGUGAGUGGAAUUCCGAGUGUAGAGGUGAAAUUCGUAGAUAUUCGGAAGAACACCAGUGGCGAAGGCGGCUCACUGGACGACUGUUGACGCUGAGGUGCGAAAGCGUGGGGAGCA